AAAUUAUCCUCAUAAGUUAGACGAAAAGAGGUACCAUUUAUAAAUUAAAUUCUUAAGACCUUCUAUCGAACUCAAUCUUUGUUUUUGAUGGAGGUCUAAAUUUAUAGAUAAAUGGUGGCACAGAAUCGGAGGCCCCGACUGUUUACUAAAAACACAACACAGUGCAAUCAUUAAUAUGGUAGUAUACUGUGUGAAAUUUGCCCAAUGCCAUUAAUAUAAAAGCGGUCAUGGGAAACUGUGACUAAUUGAAAAUCUGGUUAAUAGCGGUCUUAACCAUGAGGAUCCUAAGGUAGCAAAAUAAAUUGGCCAUUAAAUGUGGUCCGGUAUCAAUAAUGUAACGAUGGCCUCACUGUCUCUACAACUUGCUCAGUGAAAUUGAAUUACGCGUGCAGAUGCGCGUUACCUCCAGGGGGACGGGAAGACCCUAUGCACUUUCU
rnacentral:rRNA from 1 species